GCAACCUGCCCCGAAGACCGGGAUAACACCGGGAAACCAGUGCUAAUACCGGAUAUCCCCACAGGCCCCCAUGGGCCAGUGAGGAAAGGAUUCCGCUUCGGGAGGGGCUCGCGGCCUAUCAGCUUGUUGGUGAGGUAACGGCUCACCAAGGCAACGACGGGUAGCUGGUCUGAGAGGACGAUCAGCCACACUGGGACUGAGACACGGCCCAGACUCCUACGGGAGGCAGCAGUAGGGAAUCUUGCGCAAUGGGCGAAAGCCUGACGCAGCAACGCCGCGUGGGGGAUGAAGGCCUUCGGGUUGUAAACUCCUUUCAGUGGGAACGAAAUUGACGGUACCCACAGAAGAAGCCCCGGCUAA
rnacentral:rRNA from 1 species